CCCGCACAAGCGGUGGAUGAUGUGGAUUAAUUCGAUGCAACGCGAAAAACCUUACCUACCCUUGACAUGUCCGGAAUCCCGAAGAGAUUUGGGAGUGCUCGCAAGAGAACCGGAACACAGGUGCUGCAUGGCUGUCGUCAGCUCGUGUCGUGAGAUGUUGGGUUAAGUCCCGCAACGAGCGCAACCCUUGUCUUUAAUUGCCAUCAUUGAGUUGGGCACUUUAAAGAGACUGCCGGUGUUAAACCGGAGGAAGGUGGGGAUGACGUCAAGUCCUCAUGGCCUUUAUGCCCAGGGCUACACACGUGCUACAAUGGUCUGUACAAUGGGUAGCCAAGCCGCGAGGCGGAGCCAAUCCUGAAAGCAGGCCUCAGUUCAGAUUGCAGUCUGCAACUCGACUGCAUGAAGCCGGAGUUGCUAGUAACCGCAGGUCAGCAAUACUGCGGUGAAUACGUUCCCGGGUCUU
rnacentral:rRNA from 1 species